rnacentral:SRP_RNA from 2 species
CUUCUAGACCUGUGCAAUGUCUUUUAAGAGUAACGCUUCAGGGUGGGAACACAGCAGAGCGCUUUUUUUAGGUGUGUGCCGCAGUCAUCUGGGAGAGG